GCUUUCCUUACUUAUUUUCAGGAGCACAUUAUUUAUUAAUGGCAUUAUUUGUUUAUCAUAUAUUUAAAAUAUAUUUCUGAGUUGAGAUUUUUAAUCUUCUUUUGUUUUUCAGCUAAGAGAGUCCGCUACUCUAAAGUCACCACAGAGGUGAUGAAUAAGAGAGAAAGAAAGAAAAGGCAGGACCAGAAGAGCCACAAACAAUAUUUCAGGACAGAUAUAAUGAGCUUGCCAUUCGUUAUCUCACUUCUUCUGAGCCUGUCAGAUGCUGGGAGUCUAAUUUGGGGCACCAAUUAUCACUUUGGAAGUGACAGUAGCCGGAGGCACC
rnacentral:lncRNA from 1 species